GGGCAUCGCUCAGCAGUAAGAGUGCGUGCUUAGCACGCACGAGGUCCUGGGUUCAAUCCCCAGUGCCUCCA
rnacentral:tRNA from 1 species